GACUGUUGAAGACAGGUCUCCACACACAGCUCCAGCAGCCACAUUUGCAGCCUCGGCUAUCUGUCCAGAACCUGCUCCCACCUCAGGCCCAGGCCGACGGUGCACUGCUGCAAUGGGCUCUGAGCUGGAGACGGCGAUGGAGACCCUCAUCAACGUGUUCCACGCCCACUCGGGCAAAGAGGGGGACAAGUACAAGCUGAGCAAGAAGGAGCUGAAAGAGUUGCUGCAGACGGAGCUCUCUGGCUUCCUGGAUGUGAAAGAGCUUAUGCUGUAGGCAACAGGAGCCCUCAAGAGUUUUGAGGCCCAAAAUAGUCCCAUAAUUCAGUGCAGUUCCUCUCGCUCAUCUCUGCCUCCUUCUCCUCAACCACCCCCUUGCCUCUGACUCAGUGCUGUACCCCUCCCUAUACACCUCCCUUUUCCUCUCCUUCCACCACAGGCCCAGAAGGAUGUGGAUGCUGUGGACAAGGUGAUGAAGGAGCUAGACGAGAAUGGAGACGGGGAGGUGGACUUCCAGGAGUAUGUGGUGCUUGUGGCUGCUCUCACAGUGGCCUGUAACAACUUCUUCUGGGAGAACAGUUGAGCAGACAGCCACAUUGGGCAGCGCCCUUCCUCUCCACCCUCCCAGAUCUGCCUCUUGCCCCUGCUUCCACCUCAUCCCACUUAUCCCUCUCCAUAACCCCACCCCUGCCCACCCCACCCACACACACACCAAGGGCGCAAGAGUAGCGGUCCAAGCCUGCAACUCAUCUUUCAUUAAAGGCUUCUCUCUCGCCAGCCA